rnacentral:rRNA from 1 species
AUGUUUGAACAAUUUGGUGAGAAUCUGUUUGAAGGUGGAUCAUACCAAGUCGAGGAGAUUGAAAAGAAAAAGAAAAACAUCGCAAGGCACAACGACGCCUUAAAACGAGAGAAGUGGAGUAAGGUCGAAUACGAGGUGACCAUAUCAGAUGAAGUUGACUGGUUUGAAUGUGAAUGCGGGCAGUUUGCCCACAUGGGAAUGUUUUGCUGCCAUGCUUUGAAGGUUACUUUCUGA